ACGGGUAUAGCUCAAUUGGUAGAGCACUGGUCUCCAAAACCAGGGGCUGGGAGUUCGAGUCUCUCUACCCGUGCCA
rnacentral:tRNA from 1 species